rnacentral:misc_RNA from 1 species
UAUCAUUUGUGUUUAAAGAAAUGUGGACAAUGUAAAUUUAGGUAGACCAAAGAUAAUUAACAUAAGCUAGAUAUUAAAACAAAAAAUUAUUUAAAUCAUAUUAGCUUAACGUGAGUGAAACAGAACAAAUAUUAUGAAAGUAAUUAAGUGAAAAAUACCUUUUGGGAUUUUGAUUUGUUUUAAUUCUCUGUUUUGGCAGGCAGGAACUAGUCAUUGGCAACAA